rnacentral:rRNA from 1 species
UUAAGCGACUAAGCGUACACGGUGGAUGCCCUGGCAGUCAGAGGCGAUGAAGGACGUGCUAAUCUGCGAAAAGCGUCGGUAAGGUGAUAUGAACCGUUAUAACCGGCGAUGUCCGAAUGGGGAAACCCAGUGCAAUUCGUUGCACUAUCGUUAACUGAAUACAUAGGUUAACGAGGCGAACCGGGGGAACUGAAACAUCUAAGUACCCCGAGGAAAAGAAAUCAACCGAGAUUCCCCCAGUAGCGGCGAGCGAACGGGGAGCAGCCCAGAGUCUGAAUCAGCUUGUGUGUUAGUGGAACGGUCUGGAAAGUCCGACGGUACAGGGUGAUAGUCCCGUACACCAAAAUGCACAGGUUGUGAACUCGAAGAGUAGGGCGGGACACGUGGUAUCCUGUCUGAAUAUGGGGGGACCAUCCUCCAAGGCUAAAUACUCCUGACUGACCGAUAGUGAACCAGUACCGUGAGGGAAAGGCGAAAAGAACCCCGGCGAGGGGAGUGAAAAAGAACCUGAAACCGUGUACGUACAAGCAGUGGGAGCACCUUCGGGUGUGACUGCGUACCUUUUGUAUAAUGGGUCAGCGACUUAUAUUCUGUAGCAAGGUUAACCGUAUAGGGGAGCCGCAGGGAAACCGAGUCUUAACUGGGCGUUAAGUUGCAGGGUAUAGACCCGAAACCCGGUGAUCUAGCCAUGGGCAGGUUGAAGGUUGGGUAACACUAACUGGAGGACCGAACCGACUAAUGUUGAAAAAUUAGCGGAUGACUUGUGGCUGGGGGUGAAAGGCCAAUCAAACCGGGAGAUAGCUGGUUCUCCCCGAAAGCUAUUUAGGUAGCGCCUCGUGAACUCAUCUUCGGGGGUAGAGCACUGUUUCGGCUAGGGGGUCAUCCCGACUUACCAACCCGAUGCAAACUACGAAUACCGAAGAAUGUUAUCACGGGAGACACACGGCGGGUGCUAACGUCCGUCGUGAAGAGGGAAACAACCCAGACCGCCAGCUAAGGUCCCAAAGUCAUGGUUAAGUGGGAAACGAUGUGGGAAGGCACAGACAGCCAGGAUGUUGGCUUAGAAGCAGCCAUCAUUUAAAGAAAGCGUAAUAGCUCACUGGUCGAGUCGGCCUGCGCGGAAGAUGUAACGGGGCUAAACCAUGCACCGAAGCUGCGGCAGCGACACUAUGUGUUGUUGGGUAGGGGAGCGUUCUGUAAGCCUGCGAAGGUGGCCUGUGAGGGUUGCUGGAGGUAUCAGAAGUGCGAAUGCUGACAUAAGUAACGAUAAAGCGGGUGAAAAGCCCGCUCGCCGGAAGACCAAGGGUUCCUGUCCAACGUUAAUCGGGGCAGGGUGAGUCGACCCCUAAGGCGAGGCCGAAAGGCGUAGUCGAUGGGAAACAGGUUAAUAUUCCUGUACUUGGUGUUACUGCGAAGGGGGGACGGAGAAGGCUAUGUUAGCCGGGCGACGGUUGUCCCGGUUUAAGCAUGUAGGCUGGUUAUCCAGGCAAAUCCGGAUAAUCAAGGCUGAGGUGUGAUGACGAGGCACUACGGUGCUGAAGUAACAAAUGCCCUGCUUCCAGGAAAAGCCUCUAAGCAUCAGGUAACAUCAAAUCGUACCCCAAACCGACACAGGUGGUCAGGUAGAGAAUACCAAGGCGCUUGAGAGAACUCGGGUGAAGGAACUAGGCAAAAUGGUGCCGUAACUUCGGGAGAAGGCACGCUGGUGUGUAGGUGAAGCCCCUGCGGGUGGAGCUGAGACCAGUCGAAGAUACCAGCUGGCUGCAACUGUUUAUUAAAAACACAGCACUGUGCAAACACGAAAGUGGACGUAUACGGUGUGACGCCUGCCCGGUGCCGGAAGGUUAAUUGAUGGGGUUAUCCGUAAGGAGAAGCUCUUGAUCGAAGCCCCGGUAAACGGCGGCCGUAACUAUAACGGUCCUAAGGUAGCGAAAUUCCUUGUCGGGUAAGUUCCGACCUGCACGAAUGGCGUAAUGAUGGCCAGGCUGUCUCCACCCGAGACUCAGUGAAAUUGAACUCGCUGUGAAGAUGCAGUGUACCCGCGGCAAGACGGAAAGACCCCGUGAACCUUUACUAUAGCUUGACACUGAACAUUGAGCCUUGAUGUGUAGGAUAGGUGGGAGGCUUUGAAGCGUGGACGCCAGUCUGCGUGGAGCCAACCUUGAAAUACCACCCUUUAAUGUUUGAUGUUCUAACGUUGGCCCCUUAUCGGGGUUGCGGACAGUGUCUGGUGGGUAGUUUGACUGGGGCGGUCUCCUCCCAAAGCGUAACGGAGGAGCACGAAGGUUAGCUAAUCCUGGUCGGACAUCAGGAGGUUAGUGCAAUGGCAUAAGCUAGCUUGACUGCGAGCGUGACGGCGCGAGCAGGUGCGAAAGCAGGUCAUAGUGAUCCGGUGGUUCUGAAUGGAAGGGCCAUCGCUCAACGGAUAAAAGGUACUCCGGGGAUAACAGGCUGAUACCGCCCAAGAGUUCAUAUCGACGGCGGUGUUUGGCACCUCGAUGUCGGCUCAUCACAUCCUGGGGCUGAAGUAGGUCCCAAGGGUAUGGCUGUUCGCCAUUUAAAGUGGUACGCGAGCUGGGUUUAGAACGUCGUGAGACAGUUCGGUCCCUAUCUGCCGUGGGCGCUGGAGAAUUGAGGGGGGCUGCUCCUAGUACGAGAGGACCGGAGUGGACGCAUCACUGGUGUUCGGGUUGUCAUGCCAAUGGCACUGCCCGGUAGCUAAAUGCGGAAGAGAUAAGUGCUGAAAGCAUCUAAGCACGAAACUUGCCCCGAGAUGAGUUCUCCCUGAGACUUUAAGUCUCCUGAAGGAACGUUAAAGACGAUGACGUUGAUAGGCCGGGUGUGUAAGCGCAGCGAUGCGUUGAGCUAACCGGUACUAAUGAACCGUGAGGCUUAACCUU